rnacentral:rRNA from 1 species
UACGAAGGGUGCAAGCGUUACUCGGAAUUACUGGGCGUAAAGCGUGCGUAGGUGGUUCGUUAAGUCUGAUGUGAAAGCCCUGGGCUCAACCUGGGAAUGGCAUUGGAUACUGGCGACCUAGAGUGCGGUAGAGGGGUGUGGAAUUCCCGGUGUAGCAGUGAAAUGCGUAGAUAUCGGGAGGAACAUCUGUGGCGAAGGCGACACCCUGGACCAGCACUGACACUGAGGCACGAAAGCGUGGGGAGCAAACAGGA